rnacentral:rRNA from 1 species
CCUACGGGUGGCAGCAGUGGGGAAUCUUAGACAAUGGGCGCAAGCCUGAUCUAGCCAUGCCGCGUGGACGAUGAAGGCCUUAGGGUUGUAAAGUCCUUUCAGCUGGGAAGAUAAUGACGGUACCAGCAGAAGAAGCCCCGGCUAACUCCGUGCCAGCAGCCGCGGUAAUACGGAGGGGGCUAGCGUUGUUCGGAAUUACUGGGCGUAAAGCGCACGUAGGCGGAUUAUUAAGUGAGGGGUGAAAUCCCAGGGCUCAACCCUGGAACUGCCUUUCAUACUGGUAGUCUUGAGUUCGAGAGAGGUGAGUGGAAUUCCGAGUGUAGAGGUGAAAUUCGUAGAUAUUCGGAGGAACACCAGUGGCGAAGGCGGCUCACUGGCUCGAUACUGACGCUGAGGUGCGAAAGCGUGGGGAGCAAACAGGAUUAGAUACCCGAGUAGUC